rnacentral:rRNA from 1 species
UACGUAGGGUGCGGAGCGUUGUCCGGAAUUAUUGGGCGUAAAGGGCUCGUAGGCGGUUUGUCGCGUCGGGAGUGAAAUCCACUGGCUUAACUGGUGGCUUGCUUUCGAUACGGGCAGACUGGAGGUAUGCAGGGGAGAACGGAAUUCCUGGUGUAGCGGUGAAAUGCGCAGAUAUCAGGAGGAACACCGGUGGCGAAGGCGGUUCUCUGGGCAUGUCCUGACGCUGAGGAGCGAAAGCAUGGGGAGCGAACAGG